rnacentral:rRNA from 1 species
CGAGGAUUCUCCCAGUAACGGCGAGUGAACGGAGAGAAGCCCAGCGCUGAAUCAUUUGGUCACAGUGAUCAAAUUGAAAUGUAGCGUAUAGGUGUAACUGUCCCAUUGUUUUGUGCACUCAAAGUCCCCUUGAGCGGGGCCACAGUCCACAGAAGGUGCUAGACCUGUACGGGUGACGAAACAUUGGGUUAGUUGCUCCUUGGAGUCGGGUUGCCUGAGAUCGCAGCUCAAAGUGGGUGGUAAACCUCAUCUAAGGCUAAAUAUGGCCACGAGACCGAUAGCAAACAAGUACCGUGAGGGAAAGUUGAAAAGAACUCUGAGAAGAGAGUUAAAGGAGGACGUGAAACCGCUGGGAUGGAAACGAAUAGAGUUGACGAAACCAACCGUCAUUCAACCGAUCAGCUUAGCGGUCUCUUUACUAAUGUACCACCAAAUAGAUGUCUUGUGCAUUUAUUGAUGGACAAUAGUGAGAGGUGCUGUUGAGUAGUUUUAAAUAAUGCCUGUGUGAUCGGUGCAUUUGAUGGUGGUACGCGCCGAGAGCCGCGUUUAUUUUGUGUGUGUACGACAAAACAUUUGGUAGUGGACCGAGUAAUUUCAUUAUUCGGAAACCUACCAAUAGUGGAGGCGUAUCAUUGAUGCGGUUGCAAUUGUAAUUUUCGCCGUUAUGGUGCGUUACAUAUUUUUGCUCAAUUUAUACUUGCAUUAAAUGAUCGCUUGCGUAUCGUUGAUGUUUUUAAGUAUCGAGUUGAGUAAUAUGUUUUAACGCGUUAAAAUUACAUCUCGGUGUGAGCGUCGAUCACCUAUUCGACCCGUCUUGAAACACGGACCAAGGAGUCUAGCAUAUGCGCAAGUUAUUGGGUGGUAAACCUAAAAAACGCAAUGAAAGUGAAAAUCGUCUUGAUACGAUUCGAUAUGUGAGCCAUGUAUGAUUUUUUAAAAUCAUUAGCAUGGUGCAACAUAGCCCCGUCCCCGUUGCUUGCAAUAGGGCGGAGGUAGAGCGCAUACGCUGGGACCCGAAAGAUGGUGAACUAUGCCUGAGCAGGAUGAAGCCAGAGGAAACUCUGGUGGAGGUCCGAAGCGAUUCUGACGUGCAAAUCGAUCGUCUGACUUUGGUAUAGGGGCGAAAGACUAAUCGAACUAUCUAGUAGCUGGUUCCCUCUGAAGUUUCCCCCAGGAUAGCUGGAGCACAUAAAAGAGCAGUUAUAUUCGGUAAAGCGAAUGAUUAGACGAAUUGGGGACGAAACGUCCUCAACCUAUUCUCAAACUUUCAAUGGGUAUGAAGUUUCGCUUUCUUAAAAAUGAAAAUGAAGCGUGAACAUUGAAUGCGUGCUCCAAGUGGGCCAUUUUUGGUAAGCAGAACUGGCGCUGUGGGAUGAACCAAACGUCGAGAUAAAGUGCCAAACUUCCCGCUCAUGAGACCCCAUGAAAGGCGUUGGUUGAUAUAGACAGCAGGACGGUGGCCAUGGAAGUCGGAAACCGCUAAGGAGUGUGUAACAACUCACCUGCCGAAUCAACUAGCCCUGAAAAUGGAUGGCGCUUGAGCGGGAGACUUAUACUCGACCGUUGCUUGGCUUGUGUACAUGGGUUGUAUGAUAUUUUGUUUGAUUGGUUGGUUCUUCUGGUCAAUCAAAUGAAAUAAGAAUGCAUAAGUUACCUGGCCGCAACGAGUAAGAGGGUCGCAGUGGUUAGCGUUGAAGACUUUGGGCGUAGGCCCAGUCGGAGCUUCCACUGGUGCAGAUCUUGGUGGUAGUAGCAAAUAUUCAAGUGAGAUCCUUGAAGACUGAAGUGGAGAAGGGUUCCUCGUGAACAGCAGUUGGAUGCGGGUCAGUCGAUCCUAAGAUAUUGGCUAAUGCCAUUUGUUAAAUGAGAGACGGAGAUCAAAUCCAUCUCGGCAAUCGAAAGGGAAACGGGUUUAUAUUCCCGUACCUGGACACGGAGAUUAAAUAUCCAUUGCGGAUAUUUAGCGCGGUAACGCAAACGAACUCGGAGACGUUGAGUAGAGCCCGAGCCAGAGUUCUCUUUUCUGGUUAAGGAACGGACUCCCUGGAAGCGGUUCAGCCGGCGAUAGGGACGUUGUUUCCGUAAAGCGCCACGGUUCCUGUGGCGUCUCGUGCACUCUGCUCGACCCAUGAAAAUCCGAGGGAGGCAAUUUGAAUUUCGUGCCAGAUCGUACCGAUAUCCGCAGCAGGUCUCCAAGGUGAACAGCCUCUAGUCGAUAGAAUAAUGUAGGUAAGGGAAGUCGGCAAAUUAGAUCCGUAACUUCGGGAAAAGGAUUGGCUCUAAGGACUGGGUCGGUCGGGCUGCAGCGUGAAGUGAGUGCGGUUUGAUCCGUGCAGUGCUAACGCUAUAUGAUUGUGCGCAGAAUCCCUUGGAUCUUUGAGUGCAAAAUUUUCUCAAAUUCAAUUCGGCAUUUUUGCUCUUUAAUUGGACUUGAAUGUUUGAAUUGAUUUGAGAGUGAAUUUUGUAUGAUUGAGUGAUAAGGGAUGUGUAUUUAUCAGAAAAGUGUUUGGUUCGGCUAGUGUUUGAACUGUCUUAUGGACCGCUACAGCUGUGCAUUGGUUAACUUUACAGUGAUCAGUGCUUCGUCCGGCGCUAAACAGUCAACUUAGAACUGGCACGGACUCGGGGAAUCCGACUGUCUAAUUAAAACAGAGGAGACAGAUGGUCCUUGCGGACGUUGACUGUCUCUGAUUUCUGCCCAGUGCUCUGAAUGUAAAAGUGAAGAAAUUCAACCAAGCGCGGGUAAACGGCGGGAGUAACUAUGACUCUCUUAAGGUAGCCAAAUGCCUCGUCGGAUAAUUACCGACGCGCAUGAAUGGAUUAUCGAGAUUCCCACUGUCCCUAUCUACUAUCUAGCGAAAUCACAGCCAAGGGAACGGGCUUGGUAAACACAGCGGGGAAAGAAGACCCUGUUGAGCUUGACUCUAGUCCGACUCUGUGAAGAGUCAUGAGAGGUGUAGCAUAAGUGGGAGGUUUUAUCAAGUAAAAUUGGUAGACCAUCAGUGAAAUACCACUACUUUCAUCGAUUCUUUACUUAUUCGGUAAGACGGGAAUUGAACCAAGACGGUUCUUGAUUCUGGUAUAAAGUGUAGCCGCUUGGUGGCAGCACGACUCGCGCCGAAGACAGUGUCAGGCGGGGAGUUUGACUGGGGCGGUACAUCUGUCAAAAGGUAACGCAGGUGUCCUAAGGCUAGCUCAGAGAGGACGGAAACCUCUCGUAGAGUAAAAGGGCAAAAGCUCGCUUGAUCUUGAUUUCCAGUACGAAUACAGACCGCGAAAGCGUGGCCUAUCGAUCCUUUUGAAUUAGAAGGUCUCUAGCAAGAGGUGUCAGAAAAGUUACCACAGGGAUAACUGGCUUGUGGCAGCCAAGCGUCCAUAGCGACGUUGCUUUUUGAUCCUUCGAUGUCGGCUCUUCCUAUCAUUGCGAAGCAGAAUUCGCCAAGCGUUGGAUUGUUCACCCACCAAUAGGG